rnacentral:tRNA from 1 species
UUAAUUAUGCAAUUCGCAUCUAAAAAUUACAAAUUUUCAAUUUUUAAUAAACUAAUAAUUAG